rnacentral:rRNA from 1 species
GGGUUGUGAGGUUAAGCGACUAAGCGUACACGGUGGAUGCCCUGGCAGUCAGAGGCGAUGAAGGACGUGCUAAUCUGCGAAAAGCGUCGGUAAGGUGAUAUGAACCGUUAUAACCGGCGAUGUCCGAAUGGGGAAACCCAGUGCAAUUCGUUGCACUAUCGUUAACUGAAUACAUAGGUUAACGAGGCGAACCGGGGGAACUGAAACAUCUAAGUACCCCGAGGAAAAGAAAUCAACCGAGAUUCCCCCAGUAGCGGCGAGCGAACGGGGAGCAGCCCAGAGUCUGAAUCAG